CAUCGAGUGUUCCUGCUUCGACGGCUACCGCCUCGACGGAUCGUCCUCUUGCGCUGAUAUCGACGAGUGCGCCGAGGGCAGAUCUGGAUGCUCGCACGUGUGCCGGAACGACCGUGGCUCCUUUCACUGCGACUGCCCGCCCGGCUAUCGAUUGGCCGACGACCACAAAACUUGUAAAGAUAUCGACGAGUGCGCUUUGAACGAUGGACACGGGCCGUGCGACCGGAUAUGCAACAAUCUGGCGGGUGGUUAUGAGUGCAGCUGCAGCGACGUUCCGGGCUAUAAAUUGAAGGCGGACAAUCACACUUGCGAGGACGUAGACGAGUGCGCCGACAACAAUGCCGGCUGCUCGCACACCUGCGUCAAUACCCCCGGAAGUGCUUUUUGCAUUUGUCCCAAGGGCCACUACCUCGGCAACGAUUAUAAAACGUGCGAAGACGUCAACGAGUGCAACGCCACGGAGCGGGUGUGCAAAGAAAAAACGGAGGAUUGCGUCAACUUGGAGGGCUCGUUCA